rnacentral:rRNA from 1 species
GACGAACGCUGGCGGCGUGCUUAACACAUGCAAGUCGAACGAGAGUCGCACGGGUGAGAAACACGUGGGUAACCUGCCCUUUUUUUGGGAUAAGCCAUGGAAACGGGGUCUAAUAUCGAAUACGGUGGAUGGGCUCGCGGCCUAUCAGCUUGUUGGUGGGGUGAUGGCCUACCGAGGCGGUGCCGGGUAGCCGGCCUGAGCGGGUGACGGGCAACAGUGAGACUGUGAUACGUCCCAGAGUGCGACGGGGGGCAGAAGUGGGGAAUAUGGGACAAGGGGGGAAGUACGCAUGCGGCGACGCCGCGAGGGGGAUGAGGGCUUUCGGGUUGUAAACGUCUGUCGCAAGCGAACGGGUAGGUGGAGAAGAAGCGCCGGCUAACUCCGUGCCAGCAGCCGCGGUAAUAC